rnacentral:rRNA from 1 species
GAUGAACGCUGGCGGCGUGCCUAAUACAUGCAAGUCGAGCGAACAGACGAGGAGCUUGCUCCUCUGACGUUAGCGGCGGACGGGUGAGUAACACGUGGAUAACCUACCUAUAAGACUGGGAUAACUUCGGGAAACCGGAGCUAAUACCGGAUAAUAUAUUGAACCGCAUGGUUCAAUAGUGAAAGACGGCUUUGCUGUCACUUAUAGAUGGAUCCGCGCCGCAUUAGCUAGUUGGUAAGGUAACGGCUUACCAAGGCAACGAUGCGUAGCCGACCUGAGAGGGUGGUCGGCCACACUGGAACUGAGACACGGUCCAGACUCCUACGGGAGGCAGCAGUAGGGUAUCUUCCGCAAUGGGCGAAAGCCUGACGGAGCAACGCCGCGUGAGUGAUGAAGGUCUUCGGAUCGUAAAACUCUGUUAUUAGGGAAGAACAAAUGUGUAAGUAACUAUGCACGUCUUGACGGUACCUAAUCAGAAAGCCACGGCUAACUACGUG